GGCCCGAUGGUUUAGUGGUAUAAUUCUCGCUUAGGGUUUGCGAGAGGUCCCGGGUUCAAUUCCCGGUUGGGCCC